rnacentral:tRNA from 1 species
UCCCUGGUGGCUCAGAUGGUAAAGCGUCUGCCUGCAAUGCGGGAGACCCGGGUUCGAUCCCUGGGUUGGGAA